rnacentral:rRNA from 1 species
AGAGUUUGAUCCUGGCUCAGGAUGAACGCUAGCGAUAGGCCUAACACAUGCAAGUCGAGGGGUAACAAGAAGUAGCAAUACUUUGUUGACGACCGGCGCACGGGUGAGUAACGCGUAUGCAAUCUACCUUCUACAAGGGGAUAACCCGGAGAAAUCCGGACUAAUACCCUAUAACACAGGGAUGCCGCAUGGCAAUAUUUGUUAAAGAUUCAUCGGUAGAAGAUGAGCAUGCGUUCCAUUAGAUAGUUGGUGAGGUAACAGCUCACCAAGUCAGCGAUGGAUAGGGGAACUGAGAGGUUUAUCCCCCACACUGGAACUGAGACACGGACCAGACUCCUACGGGAGGCAGCAGUGAGGAAUAUUGGUCAAUGGGCGAGAGCCUGAACCAGCCAAAUCGCGUGAAGGAAGACUGCCCUACGGGUUGUAAACUUCUUUUGUACAGGAAUAAAAAGAGGCACGUGUGCCUUAUUGCAUGUACUGUACGAAUAAGCAUCGGCUAACUCCGUGCCAGCAGCCGCGGUAAUACGGAGGAUGCGAGCGUUAUCCGGAUUUAUUGGGUUUAAAGGGUGCGCAGGCGGGAAUUUAAGUCAGCGGUGAAAUCUCGACGCUUAACGUCGAACCUGCCGUUGAAACUGGAUUUCUUGAGUAUAGAUGAAGUAGGCGGAAUUCGUUGUGUAGCGGUGACAUGCUUAGAUAUAACGAGGAACUCCGAUUGCGUAGGCAGCUUACUAAACUAUAACUGACGCUCAAGCACGAAAGCGUGGGGAUCAAACAGGAUUAGAUACCCUGGUAGUCCACGCCGUAAACGAUGAUUACUAGUUGUAUGCCAUAUGAUAGUAUGUGACUAAGCGAAAGCGAUAAGUAAUCCACCUGGGGAGUACGCCGGCAACGGUGAAACUCAAAGGAAUUGACGGAAGGGCGAAUUCCAG